AAAGCUGUGCUCAAGAAAUAAAGCAAAAGACACCAUCCUUGUCAACAAAAUUAAGCCCCUCCCUCUCUCUCUCUCUCUCUCUCUCUCUCUUUCUCUCUCUAACUCUCUCUCUCACUCAUACACAGACAUAUUCACUCACACACACAUAAUUGCAUUAUAUUGUUCUUGAGGGAUUCCAGAGACCAGUCUUCUCCUCUCAUUUUGGUUUCUUGUUCAAAGAAAAAAAAUAAAAAAGAUUGAAUCUUGAUCAGGGCUGCAUGUUGAAAUCUAAGUUCUGAAAGAUCGAGGAUUCCUUUUUUACUUAAAUAAGGAAUGCCCAUUUGUAAUUUCCAUUGAAAGUACAAAAAAAAUAGCAAGAAAAGAAGCCAUUGAAGAGAAGAGAUUAUUUUCUUACAAGGGUUUGUUUGGGUUCGAAAACUUCCCAGAGAUUGCCACAUGAAACAUUGAGCAACAAUGAAAGAUGGAAACUCCAAGAAAAGCAAGCUUUCUUGGUCGAAGAGGCUGAUUCGAAAAUGGUUCAAUUUCAAGAACAAAUGUCAGGAGUACAAAACCGAUGAUGCUGUCAAUGGAGUGCAAUGGAGGAAGAGCUUCUCCGAUAGGGAACCGCCGGCGCCGGCGCCGGCGAUCAAGAAAAGCCGAACCGAGAAUCCGACGAAGAAGAUCGACCGGACAUAUUCCCGGUCCCGAUCCCGGUCGCGCCGCCGCCGCCGCGGCUAUCUCGAUCAUCCUCAGAUCAUAAACAUCCAAAACUACAGCGUCUUUGUAUCGACGUGGAACGUCGGCGGAAAGUCGCCGCCGAACAGUAUGAACUUAGACGAUUGGCUGCACGCUGCGCCUCCGGCCGAUAUAUACGUCCUCGGGUUUCAGGAAAUCGUCCCGCUCAACGCCGGAAAUAUUCUCGGUGCCGAGGACAACGGUCCGGCGAAAAAGUGGCUUGGCCUAAUCAAAAGAACGUUGAACAGCGCCGCACCCGGCGAGAGCUGCGGCAGCGGCCGGUGCUGCUACACCCCGUCUCCCGUGCCCGAUCCCGUCGCCGAAUGGAACGCCGAUUUCGAAGGAUCGAUCCGGAACAAAGCCUCGACCUUUUUCCCGCGUCGAUCGUUCCAAACGCCGCCGCAGCGGUGGAGAAUGGAGGGCGACGCGUCGAUACCGCAGCCUCGGCUAGACCGGAGAUACAGCGUUUGCGAUAGAGUAAUUUUCGGUCAUCGGCAGAGCGAUUACGACCCAAAUAUAAGAUGGGGUUACCGCCCGAGCGACGGAUCGUCGAGCCAACGUCCGAGCGAUUAUUCUUCCGGGCAUCGUCCGAGCGACUAUUCGUCCGGUAAUCGGGCGAGUGAUUACUCAUCUAGCCGUCGCCCGAGCGACUACUCCUGGGGACAGAGGGCGAGCGAUUUUUCCCGGUGGGGUUCCGACGAGGAUUAUUUCCCCAGCGAGUCACCGAGCACGGUUUUGUAUUCUCCGAUCGAAGAUGCGUAUGCUUUUCCGGGACAAUCGAGAUACUCGUUGGUAGCGAGUAAGCAAAUGGUCGGAAUUUUUCUCACUGUAUGGGUUCGGAGCGAGUUAACCGAGCACGUGGGGAACAUCAAAGUCUCGUGCGUCGGUCGAGGGCUUAUGGGCUAUCUUGGCAACAAGGGGUCGAUAUCGAUAAGCAUGUUGUUACAUCAGACGAGUCUAUGCUUCGUGUGUAGUCACUUGACGUCCGGUCAGAAAGAAGGCGACGAGCUACGUAGGAAUGCCGAUUUUAUGGAGAUUCUUAGGAAAACGAGGUUUCCACGAGUUAACAGCGCCGACGACGAGAAAUCCCCCGAAACGAUACUCGAGCACGAUCGAAUUAUUUGGCUAGGAGAUCUUAAUUAUCGAAUAGCGCUGCCGUACCGAUCAGCGAAAGCAUUGAUUGAAAUGCAAAAUUGGCGAGCCUUACUAGAGAAAGAUCAACUGCGACUUGAGCAGCGACGGGGACGGGUAUUCGAUGGAUGGAGGGAGGGGAAGAUAUAUUUCCCGCCUACUUACAAAUACUCGCGCAAUUCAGACAGGUACGCCGGCGACGACAUGCACCCGAAGGAGAAACGGAGGACGCCUGCAUGGUGCGAUCGAAUUUUGUGGUACGGUAAUGGCCUUCAACAACUGUCGUACGCUCGCGGGGAGUCGAGAUUUUCCGAUCACCGGCCGGUGUCGAGCGUUUUCUGGGCAGAAAUCGAGUCGGUCCCCAACCGGUUGCGGAAAAGCAUGAGCUGCUCGAGCUCCCGGAUUGAGGUUGAGGAAUUGUUGCCGUACGCCCAUGGCUACACCGAACUUUGCUUCUUUUGAUCGACUAACACCGGUGGCGAUUUCUUACAAGGAAUAACGAGUAUUUGCCUGCAAAUUCGUUCAGGCUUACUUUCUUACAUUGCUACGGUCGAUCACAUUCUUGCUCGAAAGAGACACGGCUAAAUUCAGCGCGACUCGAUUAAUCGAAACUUGACUAGGGAUAUAGUUCUGUGUUUCAUAUCGACGAGGAGAUUUAAGGGCAAGGCUCGUUUGUUUGGUUCUUUUGAAAGGAUUUUGGAUUAAUUAAGAUUCUUUAAUUUGUUCGGGCAUAUUCUUUUUCAGUUACGUUAAAAGUUUCGAUCGUUAAGCCGUUAUUUUUCAAGUGCGCUUAAGAUUCUUGAAUUAGUCAGUAGUAAGUGACCCUUUAGUGAUGGUCAAAAUAACAUAUAGAUAUAUAUAUAAUGUAUGUAUGUAUAAACAGGGGCGGAUGCAGUAUUAACUAUUAUGUAAGGUGGGUGAAUUGAUACAUAAAAAAAAUUAAAAAUAAUAUUAAUUAUUAU